rnacentral:misc_RNA from 1 species
AUGAUAUCAAAAUAUGGUAUUCUUCGCUAUUUACAUCAACAUAUCAUCAACGAAACCAAGUUAUGGGCGAAGAAGUUUGUUGUGGCAGCUGUGGAAUCAUGCAGUGCUGUUGAUGCCAUUGAUGUAUAGCAGUAGCUCCAUCCAUUCCACCAUAGCCAUAAGCUUGUUGAUUGCUGCUUAAGUUGUCUUCUUCAAUCUCCAUUGUUG